CAACUGCUUUAGAGUUCAAAGGCUCUUCUACCCCAAGAGUUUCAAGUGCUGGAGAGGAAAUAUCAAUUGGUUGGUUUGGAGAAGGAGUGUCAACAGGUUGGUUAUUCUUCUCAAUCGCGUCUAAGACUUUGGCUAACUCAGAUUGCAAGUUGAAAUUUUCUUGAGUAGCCUCCAUCAAAGCAUCACGACAAGACUUCAGAAAAGCCCAAUUAAUCUCAUAAUUAAAAUUCUCCGUAAGAGAAUUGUACUCCUUCUCCAAGUUUUCAUAAUCCCUUUCCCACGUUAUUCUUCUCAAUCGCGUCUAAGGAGUGUCAACAGGUUGGUUAUUCUUCUCAAUCGCGUCUAAGACUUUGGCUAACUCAGAUUGCAAGUUGAAAUUUUCUUGAGUAGCCUCCAACAAAGCAUCAUGACGAGACCUCAGAAAAGCCCAACAAAUCUAAUAAUUAAUAUUCUCCGUAAGAGAAUUGUACUCCCUCUCCGAGUUUUCAUAAUCCCUUUCCCACAUAGCAAGGUCGUUUUUCAUUAUCUCUUGCUCAGCUAAGUGGGAAUCAAGGGAAGUCUCAAGAGUGGCAUGAAAACUCUCCAAAGCACGAACUUUAUCUGAAGGAACCUUUAAAUCAGCCCAAGUCUGAUUCAAGCUCUGCACUAACUCCUUAGCAUAUUCUUCUUUUUUCUCUAUAAGUACUCUGAGCUCUUUAAUUUCUUCAUUAGCCUUUGACAAUGAACCCUUCAAAAGCUCUUAUCCCUUUUUAUCUAGUUUAAGGAAGCCUAUGCAAUUCCUAGAUCUGUAGAUAAAGUGCGAUUUUGUUGUUCCAAAUGAGCUUUAUUAUCUUGUAACACCUCUAUGAUCCCUAAAGCACUUUCAAACUGCUCCUUCGAAUUUUGAGCUUCAAGAUGGGCUCCCUCAGCUAUUCUCUUGGCAUUAGAAAUGGCCUCUGCCGACUCACGAUUUUUCCUUUCCAAAGUAGAGACCCUUCCUAUCAGCUCGGUCCCAAUCAAGUUAGCCUGCAAAUAUAAGGCACAGAAAUUAGAACUUAAAGAAAAAGGAGAGAAAAUGUUCAAGUUAAAAGAAGUUAACUUCAAGGUCGAAUGAACUAUGUCAUUCAUCAAAGUAUAGCAGUUGUGGCUCUGCAUCUUCGUCCUUUCCACAUCUCUGAUUAGAGGCUCGAGCCAAACAUCAGCUCCACCGGUCUUCCUCAAAGGUUAUGAGUAGCAGGUACUUCAAGUGUAACCUUUCUCAUAGCCAUGCCUCUGUUAUUAGGGCCAGUUUCUGAAUGCACUACAGAUGAAGAAGGAGCAGUAAAUGGAUGAGUAGUAGAAGAGGUGAAGGAGCCACUGCAUGAGUCAAAGCAGGAGCAGAAGGAAUAGGCAGGGGAGCUAACACAGGUAUGGAAAUAGAAGCACUCAAAGUAAAUGAAGGAGCAAAAGAGGACAACAUAGGAGAAGAAGC
rnacentral:lncRNA from 1 species